AAAGUUACUUAAGUGACGGUAUCUAACCAGAAAGGGACGGCUAACUACGUGCCAGCAGCCGCGGUAAUACGUAGGUCCCAAGCGUUGUCCGGAUUUAUUGGGCGUAAAGCGAGCGCAGGUGGUUUCUUAAGUCUGGUGUAAAAGGCAGUGGCUCAACCAUUGUAUGCAUUGGAAACUGGUAGACUUGAGUGCAGGAGAGGAGAGUGGAAUUCCAUGUGUAGCGGUGAAAUGCGUAGAUAUAUGGAGGAACACCGGUGGCGAAAGCGGCUCUCUGGCCUGUAACUGACACUGAGGCUCGAAAGCGUGGGGAGCAAACAGGAUUAGAUACCCUGGUAGUCCACGCCGUAAACGAUGAGUGCUAGAUGUAGGGAGCUAUAAGUUCUCUGUAUCGCAGCUAACGCAAUAAGCACUCCGCCUGGGGAGUACGGCCGCAAGGUUG
rnacentral:rRNA from 1 species